UGACCUCUCGUGGUCUCACCACAUCCUACUCCUACCGCGUCGUUCGCCGUCCCGCCGUUCCUCCCGCAAUCGUUAGCCGCCGGAGCCGCCGCCCAUCGCGCCCUUCGCCGCGGAAGAGCCGGAGCCGCCGCCCCAUCGCGCGCCGCGGGAGCCACCGCAGGUCGCGGCCCUUCGCCGCAGGAGAGCCGGAGCUGCUGCCCGUCGCGCGUCGCGGGAGCCGCCGCAGGUCACGGCCCUUCGCCGCGGGAUAGCCGGAGCCGCUGCCCAUCGCGCGCCGCGGGAGCCGCCGCAGGAGAGCCAGAGCCGCCGCCCAUCACGCCCUUCGCCGCGGGAGCCAGAGCCACCCGUUGCGCCCUUCAUCGUAGAUCCUCACGCUCGCCUCCACCAGGCACAUGGUCUCCAAUCGUCAAGACGCCCGACCCUCCUCGGCUGCUACUGCUGCAGCCGGCACCACUUUCCUUAUCUCGACCCAGUCCCUGCGAGGAACCCAUCUACGUGCCGACCAGUCCAAGGAACUCACAUCACCUCCAUCAAGGAAAACAAUGACCUAUGUGAUUAGAAGUAUGUGCUUGCUUCUUCAUGAAGAGCCAAAAAAGAAGUAUAGACGUUGAUGCAACUGUAUAGAGCAUGGUCACCAACAGAUCCACACAUUUGGUCAGUGAUGAACUAAUGCAACCUAUUAGUACAUGAGUGGGAGGGGAGGAUAUUCGAUCUGAGUAUGUCAGAUAGGAGGAGCAAGACGGAAUUAAUAAGGCAAGAAUUAUUUUCCUUUUAGUUUGGCUCUCUGUUGCUUCAUGAUGAUAUUAUCUAACUGAUGAACAUGGAACAUUGUACGGGACUGAUGAAAGAGUUCUUUCGCUUCACCAGGCAUGAAACUUUUGACCCAUCCCUGCAAUGUAUUUUCAUAGUGCCCUUGUAUAAGUAAAUGGAGGGAGUAUUACUGAAACCAAGUAUCAAUCUGAGACUGGUUGUUUUUUUAUUGUGGUCUGACAAGACUUAAAUAUUCUGCAUUAGUUUUUUAUAUCUGCAGAGUGUGCACAUGACUUUCUUCCCUGCCUUUACUUAUUAAUGAAAAAUAAACAACAAUGCAUGAUAUCUUUACUAAAUUAAUAACACUAAGUAGGAAUUCAGAACAAUAACGCAUUAAUAACAACGGGUAGGAAUUCUGAAUAAAAAUAUUACAUGAGAAAUAUGGCAUGCACCUUAACAUAGAAAUGUCCUUUUCAAUUGCUCAGAUGUUAAUGUUGCAAAUGUUCUUUUCCUGUUCUCUUAAUAAUGGUUUUAGAUGGAGAGCUGCGCCCAUGUUGUAUGCCAACAUUGGUCCUUAGAUUAGUCAAUUUUUGUCGCAGCAUAUGUUCUCUAUAGAUUUUUUAAAGGUCUAUGGAAUUUCAUCUGCAAGCUUUUGAUCCUAAUGGCUACAUCCUUAUAAAGCUAUUUCUUGUUUGUAAGAUGAAUAUUGUCUAUGUCAAGACUCAAGACUCAAGAGAAGCAAGAGUGCAUAGGAGUGGCAGUUGUUCAACCAAGGAUGGUCAGAGGGUAUUACAAGGAGCGAGAGAGAUACAUGGAAGGAGAGAUUACGUAGCAAGGCACAGGGCACACAGGACGCAAAGUGUCACAUAUGGGCUACCGGGCGAAAACAGUCGACCCAAGCAAGGCCCUCGUGGCAGUGGUCAGCACGUUUAGAUCAUAAAUCAUAUGUGUUCUUAUUUUAUGGCUAAUUAGCUAAACACAGUUGCUACAUAGUGGUUCCACUUGCUGACAACGGUGAGGUGCAACAGAGAUUGCCCUAAGAUACACAAAUAUAUUGUUGAAUAUAUCAAAGUUGUCUCGAGCUAACUCUUCUAACUUCUGCAAUAGCCAAUAUACAUGGCAUGUUGUUCUCCAGACAGAGGUCAAUUCAUUUUUUGA